rnacentral:rRNA from 1 species
GAUUGAACGCUGGCGGCAUGCCUUCCCCAUGCAAGUCGAACGGUAACGGGCCUUCGGGUGCCGACGAGUGGCGAACGGGUGAGUAAUACAUCGGAACGUGCCCGAUCGUGGGGGAUAACGAGGCGAAAGCUUUGCUAAUACCGCAUACGGUCUACGGAUGAAAGCAGGGGACCGCAAGGCCUUGCGCGGACGGAGCGGCCGAUGGCAGAUUAGGUAGUUGGUGGGAUAAAAGCUUACCAAGCCGACGAUCUGUAGCUGGUCUGAGAGGAUGAUCAGCCACACUGGGACUGAGACACGGCCCAGACUCCUACGGGAGGCAGCAGUGGGGAAUUUUGGACAAUGGGCGCAAGCCUGAUCCAGCCAUGCCGCGUGCAGGAUGAAGGCCUUCGGGUUGUAAACUGCUUUUGUACGGAACGAAAAGCCUUCUUUUAAUACAGGAGGGUCAUGACGGUACCGUAAGAAUAAGCACCGGCUAACUACGUG